rnacentral:rRNA from 1 species
CAGAGGGUGCAAACGUUGUUCGGAAUUACUGGGCGUAAAGCGCGUGUAGGCUGUCUCGCAAGUCGGGUGUGAAAGCCCUGGGCUCAACCUAGGAAGUGCACUCGAAACUGCGAGACUUGAGUCCUGGAGAGGAAGGCGGAAUUCUCGGUGUAGAGGUGAAAUUCGUAGAUAUCGAGAGGAACACCGGUGGCGAAGGCGGCCUUCUGGACAGUGACUGACGCUGAGACGCGAAAGCGUGGGGAGCAAACAGGAUUAGAUACCCUGGUAGUCCACGCCGUAAACGAUGGGUGCUAGGUGUCGCGGGCUUUGACCCCUGCGGUGCCGCAGCUAACGCAUUAAGCACCCCGCCUGGGGAGUACGGCCGCAAGGCUA